UACGUAGGGUGCAAGCGUUGUCCGGAAUUACUGGGCGUAAAGAGCUCGUAGGUGGUUUGUCGCGUUGUUCGUGAAAACUCACAACUCAAUUGUGGGCGUGCGGGCGAUACGGGCAGACUUGAGUACUGCAGGGGAGACUGGAAUUCCUGGUGUAGCGGUGGAAUGCGCAGAUAUCAGGAAGAACACCCGUGGCGAAAGCGGCUCUCUGGAACGGUACUGACGCUGAGACGCGAAAGCGUGGGGAGCGAACAGG
rnacentral:rRNA from 1 species